rnacentral:rRNA from 1 species
UACGAAGGGGGCUAGCGUUGUUCGGAAUUACUGGGCGUAAAGCGCACGUAGGCGGACUCUUAAGUCGGUGGUGAAAGCCUGGAGCUCAACUCCAGAACUGCCUUCGAUACUGAGAGUCUUGAGUUCGGGAGAGGUGAGUGGAACUGCGAGUGUAGAGGUGAAAUUCGUAGAUAUUCGCAAGAACACCAGUGGCGAAGGCGGCUCACUGGUCCGAUACUGACGCUGAGGCACGAAAGCGUGGGGAGCAAACAGG